CCGGCGCCUCCAACCAAUAGGCAGUAGGGAGGCAGGGCCUCCUCGCCCCGAAUGCCUGCUCUCCCGCCGACAUGCGCGCUACGUGUAUCAAGAUGGCGACUCGCAGUGGCUGGCCUUAUGGGACUCGUAGUUUCGAGGUUGCACGUACUCAGAAGAGGGCGAAGGGGGAGGGGCUCACUUCUGCGUUGUAAAGGAAAUUUUUGAAAUACGAAAACUUUCCAAGGCCUGGAAUGAUCAUAGUCCCUGACCUAGAUUUUCUCACUUUCUAUAUAUAGUCAUAAGCCACCAAGUUGCUGAUGCUACCAUGACGCUAACCUGACUUCCCCAGGCAAAUGACCUCACCAAUGUACCCUCGAACCCCACACCUUCAGAGCCCUGUCCCACUAAGGAAAGAUAGAAACAGGCUGGGAGUAUGGAUCGACCUGCCAAUGCCCAUGUCCAGCAGAGAAACAUUUACAGAAGCCAGAGCUUCCGCCUUCUGUAUCCCAUAAUGAUCCUGGGUCCAUGCUUCCAGAGAGAUAACAAAUAGGAAAGCUUUCAAAAAAGAGGAUGGGAUACAGAACUCUAGUGGUGGGAAUUGUGGGGAAUUGUACCCCUCUUAUCCUAUGGUCUUGUCAAUAUUUUUUAUUUUUUAUUUUAUAAAUAAAUUUUUAAAAAGAAAGAGACAGAAGAGAGACAUCACUGCACAGGAGCUUCCCCCAGUGCCAUGACACCUCCCACAUGGUGCCAGGUAUUGAACCUGGGUCUGUUUAUAAUAAAAUAUUGUGUUGUCAGAAAAUUCGUGACACAUUUUUGUGGUGAAAAACAUAGGAGAAUAUGCCAUGAAUUCUCUGACAAUCCAAUAAUUUGUCGAGCUAGAUAAUAAAUUCACUGGAUAGGAUAUGUGCCAAUGAGUUUACUCUCCAGCAUAACACACCAUGUUAUGAUAGAGUGGCACAUAGACAAGGGUAGACAUAGGCAUAUGGUCCAAUAACUCACAGAAAUAUUUCCCAGGUUACAAGGUGAAUAAAUGUUAGAAGCAGGAUUCAAACCCAGGACAGCUAUAAUUACAAGGGCCUUUAGUCAUAGCUGUAUUUCUGAGGAAGGGCAAUUAGCCUUGCUGCUGGCUGGACUUGCUGUUGUUAUUGUCACCAGCUUCAUCACUUCAGGCUAAUGUUUUUAGACAGAGAGAGACAGACAGAGGGAAAGCAAGUUUGAUUCCCAGCACCACCAUAUGAAAGAAUUAAGUGGUGCUCUGGUAUAAAAAAUAAAUAAAUAAAAAGUUUAAUAAAAAAAAAAAAAGAUGGGCACCUGGUAAAGUGCCCAUCUUACCAUGUGGUAGGCCCCAGGUUCUAGCCCUAGAUCCAUAUGGGAACAACAUAGCACCUGGAGAAGCACUACAAGUGGUGGAACAGAAUUGUGGUGUCUUUCCCUCUCUGUCUUUCUAAAAUGAAAUGAAAAAAAAAAAAAAGUGGCUUGUGAGUGGUGGGGUUCUGCAUGCUUGGUGCCCUGCCUCCACUUGGCAUUCACUCUCUACACAGGAUUCAAAGUAAAAACAAAAGUUAAACUGGGUGGAGUAUAGAUUAUGCAAAUAAUGGUUAUGCAAAUAGACUCUCAUACUUGAGGCUCCAAAGUCCCAGGUUCAAUCCCCUGCACCACCAUAAACCAGAGCUAUACAGUGCUCUGGUAAAAAAAAAAAAAAAAAAAAAAAAAAAAAAGUUAAAA